rnacentral:sRNA from 1 species
AAAAAAAAACUAGCCGCCUAAACAAACAAAAUCUUAAGCUAACAAGAUAAGUUUUCUGUUCAUAUUUGUUUAUGCACGAAUUAUGCACAAAUUAUCUAUCAUUAGAUCUGUCUGUAUUUUUACACAA